UACGGAGGGUGCAAGCGUUAUCCGGAUUCACUGGGUUUAAAGGGUGCGUAGGAGGUAGGUAAGUCAGUGGUGAAAUCUUCGAGCUUAACUCGGAAACUGCCGUUGAUACUAUCUAUCUUGAAUACCGUGGAGGUGAGCGGAAUAUGUCAUGUAGCGGUGAAAUGCUUAGAUAUGACAUAGAACACCAAUUGCGAAGGCAGCUCGCUACACGAAUAUUGACUCUGAGGCACGAAAGCGUGGGGAUCAAACAGG
rnacentral:rRNA from 1 species